GCUUGGUCAUUCUGCCACUGCAGGCUGAGCCACCAGGGGAGCAGCAGUCUGGCAGCACAGGAACAACACGGGCAUUCAAGGGGAUGGGAAAGUGGGUAAAAUUGUAACCAGAAAAAGGCAUUUUUUCCACACUAACACGGAACUGAAUUCAGGAGCUUGAGCUUUAUGGGCCCUGCCUCUUUUUCUAUAAAUUUGAAGCUGUCGGUCACCAGAUCCUUCUAGAAAAUUCCUCACCCGCUUUCCCCAAGAACUCCAGAAUAACCUGCAAUGCCCUGAAACAUCUCAGGAUUUCUUUUGGGACCAAGUCUCAACAAGAGGAUCUUUCAAAGCUUGGCCCUUUCUCCCAGUGCUGAAGGGCUGCCUCAGUGUCACCGAUGCAAGAGCUUCCUCACUCACAUCCAGCCCACCCAGUGACACCCACCCGGGCUGUUUGGAGCUGUGGCCCCCGUGUGAGCUGUGUUCACUCCCUGGCAGCCAGGACUCAGUGAGAUGGGACUCUACACUAUCUGUCAGGGGUUGCACUGGUGUGUGUUGUGCAUGCAAGACUUUGGAGCUCUUGCUCUGCUGGGGCCACCAGCCUGGAAUGUGCUUCCUCCUGAAACGUGUCCUAGUGACAGUCUAAAGGAACUUUGUUGUUUUGGCUCGACUCUGUGUUCCAGUUACCUGGGGGUUUGUGCUGGUGGCUGAGAAGUUCUGCCCAAGCCAGUGCCUUUCCCUGCACUGAGCAGAGGGUUCUGGUGGAGGGGCAGAGAUUCCUCCCAAGUGGGAGGAAUUAGAGUCAUGCAAAUGGCAGACAGAUGCUGAAUUCCUCCAUGCUGGGAUUCCUCAGGAGAAGAGAGUGCCGUGCUGUAGGCACAGGGACAAGGUGUGAGUAGGAAGCGUGUAGGGAACGGGGGAGCCUUUCCCACCAAGAAUAUGUGCUUUGUACCCUCCACUUCUCUGCUUUUCAGCCAGCCAGCAAAAUUAAAAACAUGUGAGGGGUGGAGCAGGAGGGCAGGGAUUUAUGGGUUGUUUUAUAGGAGAUGAUAUAAAACACUUUUAUGUCAA